GUAUGGAGUAUGUUUUUUAGCCCUGGGCAAUUCACCUUUUCUUUAAAUACUCAUGUCACAUUUGUGCUGUUGCCAAUGCUUCUCAGACCCUCCAGAUGAGGACAUUUCCCUGAGGAGGUGGCUAUGAUGGUAGAACUUACAAGACUUCAGUGGACAUAAGUUGUGCAUCUGAUCAUUAUUUAAACAUCAGAACAAAUGAAAAAGAUUCUAAGGAGAAAAAUUACCACAAGCAUUCAGGCAAUUUGAAACCAAAGCUGUUCCAGUACAAGUAUCACACAAAGACAUUCUGGAGAAUGGCAGAAAAGUGAGCGAAGCCAGAAAAACAACACUUCAAAAGGAGACGGGGUCAAGGUGGCAGGCAAGAUGGUCAAAUAGAAGUAGCUUCAGUCUGCAGCUCCCAGUGAGAUCAACACAGAAGGCAGGUGGUUUCUGCAUUUCUAACUGAGCCUCUGCUGGUGAUACCCAAGCAAACAGGGUCUGGAGUGGACCUCCAGCAAACUCCAGCACACCUGCAGCAGAGGGGCCUGACUGUUAGAAGGAAAACGAACAAACAGAAAGGAAUAGCAUCAACAUCAACAAAAAGGACAUCCACACAAAAACCCCAUCUGAAGGUCACCAGCAUCAAAGACAAAGGAAACAAUGCCAAGAAUACGUUAAUCUAAACCCAUGAUGUUUCUACAUCUCAAAGAACAGAGAGAAAAGGAAACUGGAGAGAGGCCAGAAGUGACCAACUCUAUUCCCUCAUUUCUGUGUUAUACUCCCUUUGUCUAAUCUUCCCUACCCUACCAGGUGGUUUAAGAAUUUUAUCCUUUCUCCAGACUAGAAGAGGAAGUGGGGGCCGGAAUUAGGUGUAUACAAAUUGUUGGAAAGCCUUUGUGUGGAUUUGGAGGGCUGAAGUAGAGUAUCAUUUUUACAAAGCAGCCCAAGCCUCUAAUCUGAGCAGGAAGAUUCACACUCAUUCUCUGGCAUGAGUCCUAUCAGGAGGAUCAAUGAAGCCAAGGCUGUAGAAAUAAAUAAUUAAUCUCUCCACCCAAGGAGGCUAGUAAACAAUAUUCAAUACGUGAAUACUGAGUUCUGCCAAGAGGAAGAAGCAUAUAAACCAGGCAACUGCUGAACGCAUUGCCAAAAAGGGAGACUUACGCAUCAUUCACUAAAGCUUUCCAAAAACUAAAUCAGAUCCAAGAACAGAUAAACUCCUGCAGAAUGACAAUGGUGGAGAAAUUGACCUCCCAGCAUUGCAGACUUACAUCAGUUGUUCUGAUGUUCUUAGUUAUAUCAGAUUCCUUCCAGAAUCUUCUAAAUAUAUCAGACGGUCAGACACAACCCCAGGCCCUAAUAAAAAACCCUGAUGCUGGCCUACAGAUGUGCAAUUUAAUAAACUUUCUCCAUGAUUCUGGUACACAUCCAACAUAGAAGAA
ensembl:lncRNA CASC17 cancer susceptibility 17